AUUGAACGCUGGCGGCAGGCCUAACACAUGCCAGUCGAGCGAGCGGCGGACGGGUGAGUAAUGUAUGGGGAUCUGCCUGCUGGAGGGGGAUAGCUACUGGAAACGGUAGCUAAUACCGCCUACCAUCGGCUGAGCCCAUAUGGGAUUAGCUAGUAGGUGAGGUAAAGGCUUACCUAGGCGACGAUCCCUAGCUGGUCUGAGAGGAUGAUCAGCAACACUGGAACUGAGACACGGUCCAGACUCCUACGGGAGGCAGCAGUGGGGAAUAUGGCACAAUGGGCGCAAGCCUGAUGCAGCCAUGCCGCGUGUAUGAAGAAGGCCUUCGGGUUGGAAAGUACUUUCAGUCGGGAGGCGUUACCGACAGAAGAAGCACCGGCUAACUCCGUGCCAGCAGCCGCGGUAAUAC
rnacentral:rRNA from 1 species